UAUGUUGUGAUUGUAUAUCAUGAAAAAGAUAUAUUACUAUUUAUAUUCAGGGAAAAAGCAUUUUUGAAUAAUGUUAUUGUUUUAUUUACGUGUCUAUAAGGAUAAUUAUUAGAUUAAAAAUGAUUUUCUCAACAAAUUAUUCAACAAACACACCUUUCUCCUACAUCAUUGAAUUUACGUCGAUGUCAUCUACAUUAUCACAUAGAAAAAGGUUAUAUAGUGCCAUUUGAUAAAAAGAAGGUAAGAAGUUGCAAGCAAGGUUAGAAUUGAAAGUUCAUUCAAUUCAUCAACAAUACAAACUUCUACACCUUCAAGUUCUUGAAAAACAAGACUAGUGAAGUCUGAUAAAAAGUAUUCAAAUAAGAUAGUUUUGCAGUGAAAGGAGAAGAAAUUAAAGACAUCGCUAAAAGAAAUGCGCUAGUUUCUAUAAUCAGAAUUCUAUAAUUUUUUGUCAAAAUUGUAUAAGCUAUGAACAAAGUUUUAAAUCAGAUAAGUACAAGAAUAAUGAAAAGAAUGGAAACACGACUUCUACGGAGAGAAGCUGUCUGAUAAAGUUUUUUUCGAAG